UACGUAGGGCGCAAGCGUUGCCCGGAAUUAUUGGGCGUAAAGAGCUCGUAGGCGGCUUGUCACGUCGAUUGUGAAAGCCCGAGGCUUAACCUCGGGUCUGCAGUCGAUACGGGCUAGCUAGAGUGUGGUAGGGGAGAUCGGAAUUCCUGGUGUAGCGGUGAAAUGCGCAGAUAUCAGGAGGAACACCGGUGGCGAAGGCGGAUCUCUGGGCCAUUACUGACGCUGAGGAGCGAAAGCGUGGGGAGCGAACAGG
rnacentral:rRNA from 1 species